GGUCCUGCUCUGUUGGGUGCAGUAAUGCGAUCAGGGCUCACUACAACCUGGACCUCCUGGGCUCAAGUGAUCCUCCUGCUUCAGCCUCCCAAAGUGCUGAGAUUAUAGGUGUGAGCCGCCAUGCCCAGCCCACAGGGACCUUUGAUGGGACUAGGGGGCUUCAGUUCCUGUCCUGAGGAUCCAGAAGGACUUAGGUGACGUAAAAGAGACUGUGAGCCCUUGAGGGCAGAGCCUGGGUCUGCUUCAUCUUUGGGUCCCUAGUACCCAGUGCAGGACCUGACAGAGUUGGCAUCAGUAAGUGGUUUCUGAUUGACCACCUGAGUAUCCCAGAUCCUGCCCAGAAGAAGAGGCUGUGGAGCAAAUAGAAAUCACAAAAGGUGUCCUGAAUCCUGACUUCCAUCUCCCUGAACAUCAACUGUCCCGGGAUUCUAUUAUCUUAGUGGGAAAGGACCUAAGAAAUCAUCCUCCCGCUGAGGGGAAUUUCAUCACAAGCUGCCCUUGCUUGUGGACCUCUGGGAAUAGAGAACUUAAUUCUUUCUUUUUUUUUUUUUUUCAAAGCUAAAGCAAGUUUAUUAAGAAAGUAAAGGAAUAAAGAAUGGCUACUCCAUAGACAGAGUAGCCCUGAGGUCUGCU
rnacentral:lncRNA from 1 species